CCUACGGGAGGCAGCAGUGGGGGAUAUUGCACAAUGGGGGGAACCCUGAUGCAGCGACGCCGCGUGGGUGAAGAAGAGCCUCGGCGCGUAAAGCCCUGUCAGCAGGGAAGAAAAUGACGGUACCUGAAGAAGAAGCCCCGGCUAACGACGUGCCAGCAGCCGCGGUAAUACGUAGGGGGCAAGCGUUAUCCGGAUUUACUGGGUGUAAAGGGGGCGAAGACGGCGCUGCAAGCCAGGAGAGACAGCCCGGGGCCCCACCCCGGGACUGCUCUUGGAACGGCGUGGCUGGAGUGCAGGAGGGGCAGGCGGCAUUCCUGGUGUAGCGGUCACAUGCGUAGAUCUC
rnacentral:rRNA from 1 species